rnacentral:rRNA from 1 species
CGGUCAUUUAGAGGAAGUAAAAGUCGUAACAAGGUCUCCGUUGGUGAACCAGCGGAGGGAUCAUUA